rnacentral:rRNA from 1 species
GCCCGCUCAGAAACUUAAAGGAAUUGACGGGGGCCCGCACAAGCAGCGGAGCAUGUGGUUUAAUUCGAAGCAACGCGAAGAACCUUACCAAGACUUGACAUCCCCUGACAGCUGUUGAAAGGCAGUGUCUCUUCGGAGCAGGGAGACAGGUGGUGCAUGGUUGUCGUCAGCUCGUGUCGUGAGAUGUUGGGUUAAGUCCCGCAACGAGCGCAACCCUUAUCCUUAGUUACCAGCACGUAAAGGUGGGGACUCUAGGGAGACCGCCGGGGACGACUCGGAGGAAGGUGGGGACGACGUCAAAUCAUCAUGCCCCUUAUGUCUUGGGCUACACACGUGCUACAAUGGCCGCAACAGAGGGAAGCGAGAGCGCAAGCUGGAGCAAAACCCUAAAAAGCGGUCCCAGUUCGGAUUGUGGGCUGCAACCCGCCCACAUGAAGUCGGAGUUGCUAGUAAUCGCGAAUCAGCAUGUCGCGGUGAAUGCGUUCCCGAGCCUU